AUAAUGGGUCAGCGACUUAUAUUCUGUAGCAAGGUUAACCGUAUAGGGGAGCCGUAGGGAAACCGAGUCUUAACUGGGCGAAUGAGUUGCAGGGUAUAGACCCGAAACCCGGUGAUCUAGCCAUGGGCAGGUUGAAGGUUGGGUAACACUAACUGGAGGACCGAACCGACUAAUGUUGAAAAAUUAGCGGAUGACUUGUGGCUGGGGGUGAAAGGCCAAUCAAACCGGGAGAUAGCUGGUUCUCCCCGAAAGCUAUUUAGGUAGCGCCUCGUGAACUCAUCUUCGGGGGUAGAGCACUGUUUCGACUAGGGGGUCAUCCCGACUUACCAACUCGAUGCAAACUACGAAUACCGAAGAAUGUUAUCACGGGAGACACACGGCGGGUGCUAACGUUCGUCGUGAAGAGGGAAACAACCCAGACCGCCAGCUAAGGUCCCAAAGUCAUAGUUAAGUGGGAAACGAAGUGGGAAGGCUCAGACAGCCAGGAUGUUGGCUUAGAAGCAGCCAUCAUUUAAAGAAAGCGUAAUAGCUCACUGGUCGAGUCGGCCUGCGCGGAAGAUGUAACGGGGCUAAACUAUGCACCGAAGCUGCGGCAGCGAUAUGUAAAUAUUGUUGGGUAGGGGAGCGUUCUGUAAGCCUGUGAAGGUGUACUGUGAGGUAUGCUGGAGGUAUCAGAAGUGCGAAUGCUGACAUAAGUAACGAUAAUGCGGGUG
rnacentral:rRNA from 1 species